rnacentral:rRNA from 1 species
AUUGAACGCUGGCGGCAGGCCUAACACAUGCAAGUCGAGCGGAGCGGCGGACGGGUGAGUAAUGCCUAGGAAUCUGCCUGGUAGUGGGGGAGAAAUUCCGGAAACGGGCGCUAAUACCGCAUGCUAUCAGAUGAGCCUAGUGCGGAGUAGCUCGUUGGUGGGGUAAAGUCCUACCAAGGCGACGAUCCGUAACUGGUCUGAGAGGAUGAUCAGUCACACUGGAACUGUGACACGGUCAAGACUCCUACGGAAGGCAGCAGUGGGGAAUAUUGGACAAUGGGCGAAAGCCUGAGCCAGCCAUGCCGCGUGUGUGAAGAAGGUCUUCGGAUUGUAAAGCACUUUAAGUUGGGAGGCGUUACCAACAGAAUAAGCACCGGCUAACUUCGUGCCAGCAGCCGCGGUGAUUG